GAUGAACGCUGGCGGCGUGCUUAACACAUGCAAGUCGAACGGAAAGGCUCCUGCUUUCAGGGGUACUCGAUUGGCGAACGGGGGAGUAACACGUGGGUGAUCUGCCCUUCACUUCGGGAUAAGCCUGGGAAACUGGGUCUAAUACCGGAUAGGACCACAUUUUGGAUGUUGUUGUGGAAAGUUUUUCGGUGUGGGAUGAGCUGGCGGCCUAUCAGCUUGUUGGUUGGGUACUGGCCUACCAAGGCGUCGACGGGUAGCCGGCCUGAGAGGGUGUACGGCCACAUUAGGACUGAGAUAGGGACCAGAAUGCAAUCGGACGCAGCAGUGGAGAGUCUGGCACAACGGGGGCGAGCCAGAUGCAGCGACGUCGGGUGGGGGAUGACGGCCUUCGGGUUGUGAACACAUUUCGAUAGGGCCGAAGCGCUAGUGACGGUACCUGGAGAAGAAGCAACGGCUAACUACGUG
rnacentral:rRNA from 1 species